rnacentral:rRNA from 1 species
AUGAAUCCCGAGCUUCUCAUGGCGGUAAACAACGGCGAUCACAAGCACCUGAGGCGCCUUCUUGGCGGGGAAGAUCAAGUUGCAUCUCCAGCCACCGCCACCGCCGCCGGCAUCGUCGUCAACAUCGACCACCACUCUACAGUGAGCUCCGCAAUCCUGCAAGGCGUCACCCCGGACGGCGACUCUGCGCUCCACGCAGUAGCAGCCUCCGGGGACGGCGACAGGUACCUGGAGAGCGCCAAGGUGAUCUACGGCAAGGCCGGGCACCUCCUGGGCGCACGCAACACGGGGGGAAGCACGCCGCUGCACCGCGCCGCCAGGGCGGGCAACUCCCAGAUGCUCUCCCUCCUCAUCGAGCUGGCCAGAGCGGACGGGACGAGCAGGGUGGAGACGAUCCUGAGGACGCAGAACGGGGUCGGGGAGACGGCGUUGCACGAGGCGAUCCGCGGAGACCACGCCAGCGCGGUGGACGUGCUGAUGACGGCGGACCCGUGCCUGGCCCGUCACCAUCUUGUCAGCGCCGCCUCGCCGCUGUUCCUCGCCGUCUCGCUGUGCCGGUACGGCAUGGCGCAGAAGCUGUACGAGAGAGACAACCAGCUGUCCUAUUCUGGACCUGGGGGACAAAAUGCUUUGCAUGCUGCGGUUCUUCGGAAUAAAGAUAUGGUGGAACUAUUAAUAGGAUGGAACACGCAGCUUACUAAACAAAGAGAUCAAUAUGGAAACACUCCUCUACAUUUUGCGCUAUCAGUUUUGGAACGUCACCCACAUGGAAUGCUUCCCAUAUAUGCUGUGCCAGUUAUAAAAGGAAAAGAUAUUACAACACUUCUGAAUAUAGAAGAACCUCCGUUGGAGCUCACCAGGCAACUAUUAGAAGCAGAUGCACUUUCAGCAUAUGAACCAGAUAAAAAAGGGUCAUUCCCCAUACAUAUCGCUGCAUCGUCAAAUAGACUUUCAGCCAUCAUUAUUUUAGUCACAAGGUAUCCCGGUUGUGCCAGUUUGCGCGAUGCUGAUGGAAGAACUUUUCUUCAUAUUGCCGUCAAGAAGAAGAGAUUUGAUAUAGUUUGGUACGUCUGCCAGACACCUAUGUUCACGUCAAUUUUGAACACACAAGACAAUGAAGGCAACUCUGCUCUACACCUAGCUGUGGAGACUGGGAAUUUGUGGACUUUUGCUUGUUUGUUUGUGAACAAACACAUAGAUUUAAAUUUACUAAACAACAAGCAGCAUACUCCGCGGGAAGUUUCAAUUAGCUCAAUUCCAACAGGGCUAUAUUGUUUUCUGAAUUCACGAAUUCUAAUACAAGAAGCACUAAUGUCAGCCAAUGCUACUUGUGAUAUUUGUCGCCGGGAUGACGAUGUGGAAGAAGAACAUAAUCCCAAAUUACAAGCAGCGAAUGAGGAAAAAGGAUCUAAAGUAGUAUCAGAUUCAACCCAAUUUCUUAGCUUUGGCAUAGUGCUUGUUAUAACGAUGGCAUUUGGUGCUACUUUUGCCUUGCCUGGGGGUUACAAAGCUGAUGAAGGAACACCGGCUCUUGCUCGCACAAAACAGUUUCAAGGCUUCUUGAUGGCAAAUGCUUUAGCAUUUUUGUGCUCAACAGUAGCCAUCAUAAGUCUUUCAUUUGCUGGAACACCUACAGUUGAGUUGCUGAUGCGCUACACACAGUAUAAUUUAUCCAUAUUUUUGGCUUUGAAUGCAUUAGGAUCCUUGGUCGUGGCUUUCAUAAUUGCUCUAUAUGUCAUGAUUACACCAGUUGCUGCUAUAACUUUUAUUGCGGUUAUUGUGGUGAUUGUUUCAACAACAAUCCUCUAUUCUGCCACACUAGUUGAGAAACUUUCUAUACUUUUAUUAGUGUUAUGUUUUAGAAUAGGAAUUCUGCCAGUACUAAGAUCUAGUAUCUCUAAAUUAAUUUUAUUUACUUGUUGGCCACUCAUAGUAAUCAUAGUCUGGCAAGAAACAUGCAUGGCGACACCUGUGAUUUAA